rnacentral:rRNA from 1 species
UACAGAGGUCUCAAGCGUUUGUUCGGAUUCAUUGGGCGUAAAGGGUGCGUAGGUGGCAGGGUAAGUCGGAUGUGAAAUCCCGGGGCUCAACCUCGGAACUGCAUUCGAUACUGCUUUGCUGGAGUACUGGAGAGGAGAUUGGAAUUUACGGUGUAGCAGUGAAAUGCGUAGAUAUCGUAAGGAAGACCAGUGGCGAAGGCGGAUCUCUGGACAGUUACUGACAACUGAGGCACGAAGGCCAGGGGAGCAAACGGG